rnacentral:rRNA from 1 species
GAUGAACGCUGGCGGCGUGCCUAAUACAUGCAAGUCGAGCGAACAGACGAGGAGCUUGCUCCUCUGACGUUAGCGGCGGACGGGUGAGUAACACGUGGAUAACCUACCUAUAAGACUGGGAUAACUUCGGGAAACCGGAUCUAAUACCGGAUAAUAUAUUGAACCGCAUGGUUCAAUAGUGAAAGACGGUUUUGCUGUCACUUAUAGAUGGAUCCGCGCCGCAUUAGCUAGUUGGUAAGGUAACGGCUUACCAAGGCAACGAUGCGUAGCCGACCUGAGAGGGUGAUAGGCCACACUGGAACUGAGACACGGUCAAGACGCCUACGGGAGGCAGCAGUAGGGAAUCUUCCGCAAUGGGCGAAAGCCUGACGGAGCAACGCCGCGUGAGUGAUGAAGGUCUUCGGAUCGUAAAACUCUGUUAUUAGGGAAGAACAAAUGUGUAAGUAACUAUGCACGUAUUGACGGUACCUAAUCAGAAAGCCACGGCUAACUACGUG